rnacentral:rRNA from 1 species
AUUGAACGCUGGCGGCAGGCCUAACACAUGCAAGUCGAGCGGAUGAAGGGAGCUUGCUCCUGGAUUCAGCGGCGGACGGUUGAGUAAUGCCUAGGAAUCUGCCUGGUAGUGGGGGAUAACGUCCGGAAACGGGCGCUAAUACCGCAUCCGUCCUGAGGGAGAAAGUGGGGGAUCUUCGGACCUCCCGCUAUCAGAUGAGCCUAGGUCGGAUUAGCUAGUUGGUGGGGUAAAGGCCUACCAAGGCGACGAUCCGUAACUGGUCUGAGAGGAUGAUCAGUCACACUGGAACUGAGACACGGUCCAGACUCCUACGGGAGGCAGCAGUGGGGAAUAUUGGACAAUGGGCGAAAGCCUGAUCCAGCCAUGCCGCGUGUGUGAAGAAGGUCUUCGGAUUGUAAAGCACUUUAAGUUGGGAGGAAGGGCAGUAAGUUAAUACCUUGCUGUUUUGACGUUACCAACAGAAUAAGCACCGGCUAACUUCGUG